UGGGGAAUAUUGCACAAUGGGCGCAAGCCUGAUGCAGCCAUGCCGCGUGUGUGAAGAAGGCCUUCGGGUUGUAAAGCACUUUCAGCGGGGAGGAAGGCGAUAAGGUUAAUAACCUCAUCGAUUGACGUUACCCGCAGAAGAAGCACCGGCUAACUCCGUGCCAGCAGCCGCGGUAAUACGGAGGGUGCAAGCGUUAAUCGGAAUUACUGGGCGUAGAGCGCACGCAGGCGGUCUGUCAAGUCGGAUGUGAAAUCCCCGGGCUCAACCUGGGAACUGCAUUCGAAACUGGCAGGCUAGAGGCUUGUAGAGGGGGGUAGAAUUCCAGGUGUAGCGGUGAAAUGCGUAGAGAUCUGGAGGAAUACCGGUGGCGAAGGCGGCCCCCUGGACAAAGACUGACGCUCAGGUGCGAAAGCGUGGGGAGCAAACAGG
rnacentral:rRNA from 1 species